rnacentral:misc_RNA from 1 species
CUCUAAGGGUGAGUGCCGUCACGCGAUGCUCUCCGAGUUCCUCAGUCAGCUGGUGGCGGAGUUCGUCGGCACCUUUUUGCUAGUGCUGACCAUCACACUAGCCUCUGUCGGAGUGGGCACGCUCGCGCCUAUUCCCAUUGGUUUUAUGCUGGCUGCGAUGUGCUUCACGUUUGGCUACAUCAGCGGUGCACACUUCAACCCCGCCAUCUCCUUUGCCGUUUUCAUCAACCGCAAAAUGACGCUGCGUCGAACGGUGAUGUACAUAGUUGUGCAGCUCGCCGGCUCCUUCUGUGCCUCACUCUACGCGUCCGCAAUCAUCGGACUCCAGAUCCCAGCACCGGUUGCGAACGGCGACUUGGCGAACACUUGGCAAGUGCUGCUGUGCGAGCUUGUGUACACGUUCGCCCUCACCUCGGUGGUGCUGCACGUCUGCUUCUCUCGUCAGCGUUCGAAUGACUUUUACGGCUUCGCUAUUGGCAUGACGCUCAUGGCGGCCGGGUUCUCGGUUGGCGGGUUCACCGGCGGCGCCUUCAACCCAGCCGUCGCCACAGGCACGCAGCUGGUGUUGUGCGUAUACAAGAAUUGCGACCCGCUCUUCUACUUCUGGGUGUACUGGAUCGCCCCGAUCUGUGGCGCCUUCGUCGCCAGCGUCAUCUUUCAGCUGCUGGACACCCACGAAUCUGUGCCGGUGGUGUUAGGCAAGGAAGCGGUGUAUUGAGACGGCAGAGGUGUGUAUGUGUGUGUUGGUGCCCGGGUGCAUUCGACGUACUCAGCAUUUCUGGACGUCCGAUGAUGCCACCUGACUGCUUUAUUAUGUCGCAUCUCUGCGCUUUGCCAGCUGAGGCGGAUUCGCGCCCCCACUGCCCACGCCGCGAACAGGGGUGUGCGCAGCCCACUUUUGCUCACACACACACACACACACACAAACCUGGGUACUCCGUCAGAGCGGAAUCCAUGCUCACUUCUGUACGCGUUCGCUCGCUGCACUUGAGCAGCUCCCUCUGCCAUACAGCAGGUGGCGCAUACGCCUGCGUAUGCUUCUGUCUCGUUGUCUCUCGUGAAGCGCUUCGGCCUCCUCCUCCUCUGCGGCGGGCAGACAUCGUUUUUUGUGUCGGUGAGCGCGCUUCUCUUGGUGAUGGUUUUGUUGACUUUUGCGUCUUCGUCGCUCGGGGUGUUUGCGUUGUGGCCGUCAAUGCACUAAAAAGGCGCGCGUGCGCCUGUGCAAACGUGUGUGUGCGCGCAUGUGUGUGUGGAGAUCAUCUCUCGCUGCAUGCGCUGUCAUCUGUCGUGCGUACACGGGCGAGAAAACGAAGAGAGAGGAGUGAGCCCACUCCCCCCUCUUCCCCUCCGCUCCCCGGCUAUCUGUGCCUGGCGUGUUGGCGGUGUGCCUAUCUCUGAGUGGUGGUCGAUGCAGGCUCUUU